rnacentral:rRNA from 1 species
UUCUGGCUCAGGAUAAACGCUGGCGGCGUGCUUAACACAUGCAAGUCGAACGGAGUAAUUCUCCCGAAGAUUGAGGAAGCUUGCUUCUGAAAGAUUCAUUGAAUACUAGUGGCGGACGGGUGAGUAACGCGUGGGAAACCUGCCCUAUACUGGGGGAUAGCAGUUGGAAACGACUGAUAAUACCGCAUAAGCGCACAGCUUCGCAUGAAGCAGUGUGAAAAACUCCGGUGGUAUAGGAUGGUCCCGCGUCUGAUUAGCUAGUUGGUGAGGUAACGGCCCACCAAGGCAACGAUCAGUAGCCGGCCUGAGAGGGUGUACGGCCACAUUGGGACUGAGACACGGCCCAAACUCCUACGGGAGGCAGCAGUGGGGAAUAUUGGACAAUGGGGGAAACCCUGAUCCAAGCGACGCCGCGUGAACGAAGAAGUAUUUCGGUAUGUAAAGUUCUAUCAGCAGGGAAGAUAAUGACGGUACCUGACUAAGAAGCACCGGCUAAAUACGUGCCAGCAGCUGC